ACAUUCUACUGCUCAUGUGGAUCGCUUUGGGGGCCAAGUUCAUCAUCUUCCUCUUGCUGCUAGGGAGUAUGGCCUGGCAGUGGAACUCAGAUCAAACAGAAAUGGAAAAAAAGCUGCGUACCAAGAAGAUGCCCAGUGAGGGCAAUUGACUCCGCCCCAUCUGGUUUCCCGCCUGUAAAGCCCAUAGCUACCGGAAGGAGG